rnacentral:rRNA from 1 species
UCUGUGACGUGAAUUGCAGGACUUUGCGAACGUUAAUUCUUCGAACGCACAUUGCGGCUUUGGGUUGACUGAAGCCACGCCUGGUUGAGGGUCAGUUGAAUCAACCAUCGCGACUGCGUGUAUAGUCGCGGAUUGUCCGGAUAACGCGCUAGCGUUAGCGGAUCAAGACUAGUCCGGAUGUGGCUUCGCACACGCUGACUAGACUGCGCGAUCGUGUCGUGCGUCGGUUGGGGCUUGGGCGUCCAGAGCACAUGCACCGCUGUUGCAUGCUCGGGACUGCUGUCCAACUGAAACGUAAGCGCCGCGUGCAGUGUCUGGUGUGUGUGAGGGUGCUUGCACGUCCGUGUGUCUGUGUCUCGAGAAAAAUGUCCCCGCCGCGGACCGCUCGAGACGAGAUUAUCUCAUUCUUUUGACCUCAGCUCAGACGAGAUUACCCGCUGAACUUAAGCAUAUAA